GAAAUACGAUAAGUAAUGUGAAUUGCAGAAUUCAGUGAAUCAUCGAAUCUUUGAACGCACAUUGCGCCCCCUGGUAUUCCGGGGGGCAUGCCUGUUCGAGCGUCAUUUCACCACUCAAGCCUCGCUUGGUAUUGGGCAACGCGGUCCGCCGCGUGCCUCAAAUCGACCGGCUGGGUCUUCUGUCCCCUAAGCGUUGUGGAAACUAUUCGCUAAAGGGUGUUCGGGAGGCUACGCCGUAAAACAACCCCAUUUCUAAGGUUGACCUCGGAUCAGGUAGGGAUACCCGCUGAACUUAAGC
rnacentral:misc_RNA from 1 species